rnacentral:lncRNA from 2 species
UACCUCGUCGGCGGGGGCGCGGAGCGCCGCAGCAACUACCAGCCAGAACCCGGCGCAGAGCGCGAGAAGGAUCCUUCCCGCAACCAAAACCCGGCUCGGUAUCGCGCGCCUCUGCACGCGAUACAUCGCCGGCGGCGCCUUCAACUACAACAAGCAGGAGUGCUCCUUCCCCUAAAUCCAGUGCCUCCGCGCGCGAUACCUUGCUGGCAACAGCGCGUGCACCUAGUCGCAGUAGUCCUCAGCAAAAAUCCAUCUCAGGUGCCGACCUCCAUCGCCGGAUUUCCUUUUGCGUACCUCACUCAGUUAGGUAUCAGCUUAUCUCUAUUUUUCAAGAGAAUGAAUUCCUCGGUUGGAUCUGCUGGAAGAAUGAUGGAAGAGGUAGCAAAUGAGGGGAAUGUUGUCCUUAGUGAAAGAAGUAUGAAAGAGCAACAUAGUGACAAGGAUGAUGUUUGUGUUGAAAGAGCAAUGGAACAAGUAUCAAGUCAUGAUGAUGAUGUGUUGAGGGAAGCACUGCUUGAAACUGGGUUGUUUACAGGUGCCAUGAGCAUUGAUCAAAUUGAUGCAGGUGAUGAGUUUGAAAUACAAGAUGAGUUUGGACAUGAAGAUGGAGAAACUGAAGAUGAGGGGGUCCAAUCUCAACCUGCAGUCCCUGAUGUUGGUACGGAGUUCUUUUCAGAAAAAUAGGCUCAAGAUUACUACAAUCGUUAUGCAAAAAACCAAUGUCACCAAGGAGUACAACAUAUAUGAGAUUGCUUGCUACUCCAAGCGCACAAGCUAGAAAAAAAAAGCAAUGUCACCAAGCGCCCAGACCUAUUGAUAUGAGGGGUGUGGAAGAAAUAUAGCACUAAGGGGUGUGGGAGAAAGAUAGCACUGAGGGAAAAAUACAACAUUUCAUUUUUUUUUUACAUUUGCUAAAUGAGACUUGUUCAUGUAAUAAUUCCUCUUUUUGGCUGAUUGGUGAACCAUGUUGCUUGAUACUAAAUUGAAAGCUUCCGAACAGUUGUGAUGUAUGGUCAGAAAAUGUCAAAUGUGGUUGCACUUGCC